rnacentral:sRNA from 1 species
CAACCGCUGCUCUGGGACGCAGCAGCCAUUCAGAGGCCUGAGUUAUGAUGCAAGUGUCAGGAAUAAGCUAGGCUCAAGGCACGCUAGACCGAAAGCCGUAAUUCGACAGCAAAAUUGGGCCAAGCCAGUCGAAGCCACAGACUUCCAAGGUACCGGAAGAUGACGAGGCUGGUGGUGAGAGGCAUCUGCCGCGCGACUAGCCGCAGAACCCUGGCUUCGGGAGUUGUUCCCUGAAGAAUUGGAGGUUGUAAUUUAGUCCGCCUUUGGGGGUGAACGUAUUCUUACGGUUCGGAAAAUUUUCAAAUACGCACGCACAAAAAAAGAAAGCAACGUCACGCCAUGAACCAACGCGCAGAUUUUGACGGAGUGCCGAUUGGUAACUUUUUUUUCAAUCGGCGAAGUGCGACCCCGAGUGUCACCGCUACAAACUUUUGACAUGGUGGACGCUCCUGGGGGUGCACCUGGCAUAGGAGACGUCCUCGAUUUCCUUGGAGGGUAAUACAAUCACGUGAUAACAGCCUGGAGGUUCAUCAUGAGACAGCCCCUGCAAAGUCCCAGGGUAUCUCGAAAUUGGUUGCUUGAUUCGAGCGGCCCGCUUGAGGGGCUAUCGUGAACAGUUUUUGACAUUGCCUGCAUGGCUAAAAGAAAAAGCACGGAAAAUGCAGCGAUCAUGGAUUAAGGAUGACGGCAGCUUGUAUUGAUCGCCCUGUCUUCAAUAUGUUUAGAGUGUUCGUUUCGUCUGGUGUCCUUUGGUAUUGGAAGGAAAGGCCUUAUUUGUAGGGAAACAAACGACAAGAGUGUUGGCAACUUGAUCAUUGGUUAUUUAUUACAUUCGCUUGGCCAUGGGGCUGUACUAAGAUGUGAUAAACCAAAUGUUCAACGAGGGCUUGUGGACAAAAUGAAAGAAUCCCUCCUGCUUUCAAGCCGAUUUAAUCAUCCAAAACUUCACACUUGCUCUUACCUCAUGAAGCACGGUACAAAGAUGAAUGCUAGGAAUCUUGGCAGCUCCUAAUGCCGCCCCUUGCUGCUUACUCGAUUCGGAGCCUGACUUUGAUGG